rnacentral:rRNA from 1 species
GGACGGGACUAACACCGAUAUGCUUUGGGGAGCUGUAAGUAAGCUAUGAUCCAGAGAUUUCCGAAUGGGGGAACCCAAUAUCUUUUAUAGGAUAUUACUUUUCAGUGAAUACAUAGCUGAUUAGAGGUAGACGCAGAGAACUGAAACAUCUUAGUACCUGCAGGAAGAGAAAGAAAAUUCGAUUCCCUGAGUAGCGGCGAGCGAAACGGGAAGAGCCCAAACCAACAAGCUUGCUUGUUGGGGUUGUAGGACUCCGAUAUGGUAGUCUGUUAGUAUAGUUGAAGGAUUUGGAAAAUUCCGCUAAAGAGGGUGAAAGCCCCGUAGACGAAAUGCUAACAACACCUAGGAGGAUCCUGAGUACGGCGGAACACGAGAAAUUCCGUCGGAAUCCGCGGGGACCAUCCCGCAAGGCUAAAUACUCCCUAGUGACCGAUAGUGAACCAGUACCGUGAGGGAAAGGUGAAAAGCACCCCGGAAGGGGAGUGAAAUAGAUCCUGAAACCGUGUGCCUACAACAAGUCAAAGCUCGUUAAUGAGUGAUGGCGUGCCUUUUGUAGAAUGAACCGGCGAGUUACGAUUGCAUGCGAGGUUAAGUCGAAGAGACGGAGCCGCAGCGAAAGCGAGUCUGAAUAGGGCGAAUGAGUAUGU